UACGUAGGGGGCAAGCGUUGUCCGGAAUUAUUGGGCGUAAAGCGCGUGUAGGCGGCCCGGUAAGUCCGCUGUGAAAGUCGGGGGCUCAACCCUCGAAUGCCGGUGGAUACUGUCGGGCUAGAGUGCGGAAGAGGCGAGUGGAAUUCCUGGUGUAGCGGUGAAAUGCGCAGAUAUCAGGAGGAACACCAAUUGCGAAGGCAGCUCGCUGGGACGUGACUGACGCUGAGACGCGAAAGCGUGGGGAGCAAACAGG
rnacentral:rRNA from 1 species